ACUCUGGGCAGGGGAGAGGGAGGGGAGAGUGAGGGUCCCCGCCUGGCUGUUACCUGCACAGCUCACCGAUCCUAAGAGCGAAGCCCGGCACCCCCCGCCCCCGACUGCACGUCCUGCGGCGCUCGCCCUCACUCCCCACGCGCCUGCGACGCUGGCCUGCCUCUUUCCUCCUCGAGGCCCUUGCACCUAUCUUGCCUUCUGUUUGGCCACUCUGAUUCUUCAGUGCGCCCCUUAAGUGCAAACCCUUCCCUGACCAUUUAUUCACUCCAUGACUGUUUGUUGAGCCCUGACUCUGUGCGUUGUAUUAGGCAUUGUGGGUAUGGUGGAUAGGAAAACAUUCCUCACGAAGCUCACAGCAAGCAUAGUGGGAGAGGUAUGGUACAUAACCACAAAAGAAUGUGAGGUUGCAUCUGUGACACGUGCCAAUACCACGACUGUAACAGGAGACUGUGACCUAAUCCAGGAAGGCUUCUCAGCCGAAGAGCAACUUGGGCUAGGAUCUGACAGGUGAAUAGGAAUUAAGUAGUGAACAGGGGAGAGAAGGAUGCUUUGGUCAGAGGGAAGGACUUGUGCAAAAGCCCCGUAGCAGGAGAGACAUACAAGAACAAGGGACUGAAAGAACUGGGAGUGUGAGCAGAAAAGGGGAGUCAGUGUGCUGCGAACCUUGUUUCCUUCAUAAAGAGCAUUUAUUACAUUUUGUGGGGUUUUUUUAAACUUGUUUAUUCUUUGCCUUUGCCCACUGCAUUGGGUUUCAAACCUGGAUAUACACUGGAACCAUCCAGAGAGCUUUAAAGAAUAGUUUUCCUGGGUCCUAUCAAAGUAUCAAGUACUGGGAAAGGGUACUUCUUGAAUCUUCCCUGGUGAUUCUCAUGUACCCACAGGGUUGAGGACCCCUACCUCCUGGAUCAUAAACUCCAUUUCAGCAGGGUCUGUAUCCCAGGACUGGCGCAUGUGAGUGAGAAUGGUGACAAAGGGUAGGUAAAAGGUGACUUCUGGAGGGGACAGGAAAACCACCAAGUGAUUUUCAUAUAAAAGGAGGACAAGGAAAGAGAGCUCUCAAGCCCACUGAGAGGGAAAGUAAAAACCAGGACACUGGGGCAGUGCCUUGAGCCCAGAUGACCCCAAAAGCCCUUUCAGAGGAAGGACAGUAGGUGGAGUAAAAGCUACUGUUGUCACAGAACUGUUCUUGCCUGGUGUCUGGGAUAUGUGACCCCUUCCUCCAAGCACGUAGGCACAAAGAGGCCGCCCAUGACUGCCACUUAAAGCAGUCGGCAGAAUUAGUUCAGGGCCAUAAGUGUUUAGAUGUUUAUGCAUGAUAUGCAAAGCAGUUAGUAGCGCUCCUAGCAUUUUACCUUAACCUUAAACUUCCAGCCUUCCCUGCGCCUAACUCUUGGUCCUGUCGCUGUUGAUCUAUAAGCAGCACAUCAAUAUGGCAGGGAGCCCAUUCUUAAAACCCUCCUGGCCAAGAAAUACUACUUUUGUGAUUCAUUUCAAAUCAAGCAUUUACUGAGUCCCUCUCCAUGUCAGGUAAUGUGCUUUGCACUGAGAGACGAUGGGUAACACCCAGUCCUAGUUCUCAGAGAUCAUAUCAUCUGGAAAUUAAGAUCUCAACAAUGCAACCCCUCCCAUUUGAAAAAAUUAAUUGUGGCAAAAAAACAAGGAACCAAUUUUGCCAUCUUAACCAUUUUUUAAGUGUACAGUGGUGUUAAUAUACUCGCAUUGUUGUGCAACAGAUCUCUAGAAUUUUUUCAUCUUGCAAAACUGAAACUCUAUACUCAUUGAACACCAUCUCCCCACACCACUCCCCAUUUUACAGGUGAAGUAAUAAUCUAUAAACAAAUACUUUAGUGGAAUUUCUACAACGGCAAGAAGUCAUGCUUUUGUAAAAUGAAGAAUUUGCUAAUGUGCCUGUGUCUCUUUGCUCCUCCUCUAGACUAUGUUCCUUGAAGUCAAAGACCCCAUAUUGUCAUCGUGUUGAAUCUUGACACUCAGCAUCUUGGAGGGUGUGGACACGGACUGUGAGAAUCACUCGUGCAAGGAUGAGAAGGAUUAGGGAGGAAGCUGAUGUGGCGUUGCACGCUCUGGAUCUGAUGCUCCAGGGACACGGUAUCCAUGGCAACCCAGGCCUGGGCCCCACCUGGGGAGGAUGACAAGGUGAACCCACAUCUUCUGGGCCCAUCCACCCUGCCAACCUUCAGGUCCUUUCAAUUGUCUCCUUCAGUCUGGGGUCCUGUUGUACCAGGCAGAUGAUUCUGCCACUGAAGUCAUUUGUAUUUACUCACUGAAGCUUCAUAAACAAGCGGUGUGUUGGCAGGAAGUAUAAUUAUUCCCAUUUAACAGAUGAAGAACCAGAGGCUCAGAGGGAAAUGGCUUUACUCCCUUGCCCCCAUGUAACUUUAGCCUCUUCUGUAUCUCGGAGAGGAAAACAAAUGGGGCAGCAAAGUCAGUAAAGAGAGACAGACAUUUGGGUUCUAGUCUGCUUCUUCACAAGCUGUGUGACUUUGGGCAAGCCCUCUCCCUCUCUAGGCUCUCAGUUUUCUCCUGGGUAAAAUUAGGGAAUUGUGGAUAGGAUGAAUGCUGAAGCCUCUGCAGCUCUGCCAUCCCUCAAGCAUCCCAGCUCAAGGGUGACCGUCAACUGGCAGGGCAGUGUGAUGGUUAGAGCACAACCCUCCGCCAGUUCAAUUCCAUUUCUCUGAUUUAACCUCAGCCCAGGGCUCUGGACUCUCCCAUGUCACAGAAGAGGAAGAUCUGAUGAAUGUUUUAUUAAGACUGAUCCUGUGGGCUGAGGGCAGGUGGUGGAGUCCCUUUUUCCAAGAGGAAUGGGGGAGGGUCAUAUGGAGACCUAAGCAGUAGGUCCAUGGUAGAAGCUUAUGACACUGUGAUGGGAGAGGGAGGCUUGCAUCCCUGAAUCCUAGUGAUGGCCUGGCUUUUCAGCGCUCUCUCUUCUGACCCUGCCCCUUGCCCAGUGAGUCUCUUCUGUGAUGAUCAGCGUCUUGGAAAAGCAUUGGCAGAGGGCAAAAACAGGAGGCAGAGGGCAGCGGAAGCCGAGACCUCUGGAGUCCAGGACUCAGAGCUCAUGCCUUCUCCGCCAGGGACUCCCAAAGCUUGUGACGGCCCUUCCUCCACCUGCCCUAGGAAUUCCCUGGCCAGAGGAGAGGAAAACCAGUUGCUGGCUUGUUCUGUUCAGCAAUGGUCCCCUUGAAACAGGCUUUCUGGUAAGCCUCUGCAAAGCAAGAUUUCCAUUUGUAGGGUCACAUCCAGCAGGUGCACCUGAGAACCUCACGUUCAUAGGUUCCUCUCUUGGGGCCCCCCUUCCUUUGUACCUGUAUGGCCUCCCUAAUCCAACCAAAUGGACUUUCAUUUCAGCAGCGGGGUGGGUGGCCCUUUGGCCUGUGGGAAUCACUGGUUACAUUUACUGACCAUCUGCUAUAUUUAGGGAACUUUAUGCACAUUAUCUUACUUCUGCCAACCACUCUUCAGUAGGAUCACCACCUCCAUUUCACAAACAAAGAAACAGAGCUGAAGUGACUUGUGCCAGUUCACGUGGUCAGUAAGUGGCAGCAGAUCCAAUUCUCCAACCAAGUCUUUGGAAUCCAAAGAAGUUUCCCAGUAUUUACACUGAAAACAGUCCUGGGUUUGAAUCCUAGGUUUUUCGGUUCCCUGCUGUGUGACUUUGGGCAAGAAAGUUAACCUCUCUAAACCUUGCUUCCCCUCUCUGUAAAAUGGGGCUACUAACAGGAGCAGUCCUAGGAUAAUUGUGAGGGUUAAAUGAAAUUAGAAAUUGUAGAGCAUUUAGCGCAGAACCUGGCUCAAUCAAUGCCUCAUCCCUUCUCCUCCCUGUUUAAUGUCUGAGUAGGUUAAUCCGUGCCCUGAUUUGUCCAUUUGUUCAUCAUUCAUUCAUUCAAUGACCUACUAUUACCAACCACUGUGCUGGGUACAGGGACAUAGUGAUGAACAAAACAGUAUUCCUGCUUUCUGCUCUCAUGGAGCUCACAAGGCCAAGAGAAGAGAAUCAAACAAAUAAACAGGUACAUCAAACAAACAAAUAAUACAAAUAAGUUUACAGUUACAAUCUAUAAGUGCUGUGAAAGAAACCUGCAGGGUAACGUUGAAAGAAUAUAAAGUGGGACCUAGUUUAGAUCUGGGGUCAGGGAAGGUAUCUUGGUGGAAAUGAUUUUAGGCUGAGGGACUUCCCUGGUGGCCUAGUGGAUAAGAAUCCGUGCUCCCAAUGCAGGGGGCCCGGGGUUCGAUCCCUGGUUAGGAAACUAGAUCCCACAUUCACGCCGCAACUAAGAGUUCACGUGCCACAGCUAAGGAGCCCGUGUGCCGCAAAUAAGGAGCCCAUGAGCCGCAACUAAGGAGCCCACGUGCUGCAAUGAAGACCUGGUGCAACCAAAUAAAUAUUAAAAAAAAAAAAAAAGAAAUGAUUUUAGGCUGAGACCUUGUGGCAGGCAGAAUUCCAAGGUGGUCCCCAAGAUUCCCAGCCCCUGAUAUAUACACCCUCUAACAUUAUCCCCUCCCCUUGGGUGUGGGUAGGACUGUGAAUAUGAUAGAUUUCAUUCCUCUGAUUAGGUUAUAUGACAAAGGUGAAGGAUUUUACAGAUGUAAUUAAGGUCUCCAAUCAGUUGACUCUGAGUUAAAAACAAAAGGAAGAUUAUUCUGGGUGGGCCAGCUUCUAAGGGCCCUUGCUAUAGGAAGAGAUCUGAAGCGUGAGAGAAAUUUGGCUUCUGGCCUAGAAGGGGUAAACUGCCACGCUGUGAGACAGCCUGUGCGGGAAGUCAUAGGCAAGAACCUGAGCGAGGGCUCUAGUAGCUGAGAAUGGUCCCUGAUUGACAGCUAGCAAGAAAAUGGGGACUCCAGUCCUACAGCUGCAGGGAAGUAAAUACUGCCAACAACCUAAGGUAUCUUGGAAACGGAUCUUUCCCUAGUUGAACCUUCAGAGAAGGAUGCAGCCCUACCUUGAUUUCAGCCUUAGGAGACCCUGAGUGGAGGACCCAAGUAAAAGGUGCCAGACUUCUGAUCCUUGGAAACUGUGAGAUGAUAAAUUUAUGCAGCAAUAGAAAACGAAUACAGACUUGAAGGGGGGUAGGAGUUAGAAGACUAAAGGGAAGAGCAUUCCACACAGGGAACAGCAUCUGUGAAGGCCCAGAGGUAGAAUAAUGAUGGCUUACAUUUACUGAGUGCCUACUAUGUGCCAGGCUUUGUGCUAAGUGCUUUAUGUGGUCUUUUUGAGGAAGGGAGACAUUGCCACUGCUGGCGAAGUUGAAGUGUAAGGUAUUAGCGGAGAGUUGCAGGAAGUGAGGUUAGCAAGUGAAAGAUCACAUGGGGACUUAAAACUGUGUUAAGAAUUUUGGACUAAUGCUAAAUGAAUUGGAAAGUUAUUAAAGGAUUUUAAGCAGGAGAUGGACGUGAUAUGAUUUGCAUUUUUAAAAGAUCACUGGCUGUUGUGGGGAGGGCAGAUGAGAGGGGGCAGAGUGGAUGUGGGGAAGUCAGCUGGGAAAAUGUAGCAGUUAUUAAGGUGAGAGAUGACAAAGGCCCGGACCGGAUGAUGGAGGUAGAGUUGGAGACAAGUUCCAGGUGUAUUUUAUGGGUAGAACUGGCAGGAUGAGGGAAUGGCUUGGAUUAGAUCAUGAUGAUGGGGAAGGGGAUGUCCAGGAUAUCUCCCAGUUUUCCAGUUUGGGAAACUCAAGUAUGAAGGCACUUUUUGCUGGGUCUUUCCCCAUUUCUUCAUCUUUCAUGCUGGACCUCUUUCACAUUGGAUCUCUUCUAUAAUCACUCCUUCCAUGAUCUCAUCCAAUCCAAUGGCUGUAAAUGCUAUUUAUAUGCUUACCCCUAAACUAAAUCUCCUAAUACCUCCACUUGGGUGUCUAAUAGGUCCCUCAAACUUACAGGGUUCAAUACUGAACUCUUACGAUCUCUCCUACAAGCCUGCUCUGGCCCAGUGUUCGCUAUCUUGAUAAAGGGCACUUGGUUGCUCAGGCCAAAAACCUAGGAGUCAUCUUUGAUUCCUUUCUGUUUUCUUUCUUUAUUUUAAAAUUUAUGUUUGGCUGUGUUGGGUCUUUGUUGCUGCUUGUGGGCUUUCUCUAGUUGUGGAGAGCGGUAGUUGUGGCACACGGGCUUAGUUGCUCCACAGCAUGUGGGAUCUUUUUGGACCAGGGAUCAAACCCAUGUCCCCUGCAUUGGCAGGCAGAUUCUUAACCACUGAGCCACCAGGGAAGCUCUGGCCUCAUGGCUUUUUAUUCAACUUGCCACACAUACUGUAGCCUCAGGGACUUUCCCUCUGCCAGGAAUGUCCUUCUUCAGGAUACCCUCAAGGUCCAUUCCCUCCCUGCAUUCAGGACUCUGACCCAGGGCCCUUCUCUGAUUGCCUGAUUUAAAAUAGAACUCUUGGGAAUUCCUUGGCAGUCCAGUGGUCAGGACAUUGUGCUUCUACUGCUGGGGGCCCAGGUUUGUUCCCUGAUGGGAGAACUACGAUCCCUCAAGCCGCACGGCACGGCCAAAACAAACAAACAAGAAACCAAAAAAUGGAACAUUCUGUCACCCUCCAUUCCCUUAAUCUGCAUUGUUUUGUUUCCCAUGAACUUAUCACCACAAGAAUACAUUACAUUUCUGCUUAUCUGUUUCUCCUGCCAGAUCGUUGGCAACCCAAGGUGAAGGACUCUGUUUUGUUUCCCCCUGUUCCCUAGUAGCUAGCAUAGCAUCUGGCAAAUAGGAACCACUCAGUAAACAUGUGUAGAAUGCCUGAGUGAGUGAAUCUGUCAAGCUGGGGCAGACUGACGGAGAAGCGGAUUUACAGAGAAGUUAAGUCCCAGCCCGAGACAUGUUAGAUUUGACAUGCUCAGGAGACCUCAAACAAGGAGAAAUAGAUUUCAAGCAGGCAGUCAGUAUACUGGUGCCUAACUCGGGAGGAACAGGUGAGCUACGUCUGUGCUCUUGUGUAUCUGUGUUGGGAUGUGUGUGCCUCUGCACCUGUGCAUAUACUUGAGCCUGUGUGCAUGCCUCAAGGAGUGCAUGGAUGUGUGUGCAUGUGUGUAUGUGUGUUGGGGGAGGGUUCCUGCUUCUCUUGUAUCUAUGUGUCUGCUGUGCGCGCACCCGAGGGAUGAAGGCAUGUGGGCCUAUGCUUAGGAUGAAGAGAGAAAAUGUCUGUCCCUAGCUGCUGAAAAGCAAAUGUUUCUGAAGAGUAAAAGCCCUUUCCACACAGCCCUGGAGACUGGACCCUGGCCACAGUGAGAGGCUGAACCAACCAGCUGUUUCUGUGCCUUCCCAGAAGGACUUGAGUAUUUGCUUCCAACUAGGCAGGCUGUUCUUCUCAGGGCAGAAAUUUGGGUCACAAACGAUCUUGGCAAAUAUUCUUUCUUAGACGGUAUUGUUUAGUUUGUUUGGGGGAGGGCGGGGAAUGGAGUGGGGAAGGGGGAACCAGGGACAACACAGAUCUCUCUGUGUAGCUGGGGAAUCAUAGGCACUUCAGGAGGCCUGAGCCAGGAAAACGUCAGGUUUUUGCAUAGAAAUGCGGUGCCGGAAGCUCCAGACUUCAGAAAAUGCUCCUGCCUGAGGACUUGGUCCAGGCCAGUGGCAGCAGAUGAAGGGUUAGAGCUAUCAGUGCCGUCUUCUCCCUGCACCCAGCCCGAGAUGCCCAAACUCACAGAUUACAGUGCUUGCUGAGAAGGGUCCCUCACCUCUGUCCACUGUCCCGACCACUUCAGGGCCUGCGUUGUUUAUGCUGCCCACCUUCUCCUUGUGUCCCUAGUUCUCUCUUUGAAUUUUCUAGUUUGAUAAAAAAAGUUCAUUUAAAAAAAGUGUCAUUAAGAAUAAAAAAGGACCUGUAACACAGGCUUCACAAUUUAUAGAGUUAAUUCCAAGUACUUUUGAUAUGCCUCUCAUCUAUUUGAAAGUUAUAGAUAUUUUUCCUUCUUGGCGAAGCUGGUGGGAGAAACCUUCUGUGCUCAGGUCCCCAACCAUUGACAAAGUGUCAGGCCCAGGAACUCUGUGAUCCUGGUACAAUUCUGACUUUCUAAGGCCUGGGCUCCUGAUCUCUGAAAAUGACCUCAUCUCCUGCUUGUCUCGAGCUUAUGGGUACCCACUUCCUUCCCCAGCUAUCUAUCUACCACAGACUGGGCAAGGAGGAAACUGUAGUUCUCUCUCCUCUCCAGUUCUUAGAGCUCCUUGGGUUGAAAGAACCACAGAAAGUACAGAAUCAUAGUACUCAGGGCUCAGAGGGGCCCUCAGAAUCAUCGCAAUCAGUGUUUUUCAAACUUUGCUGCAUAGAGCCCCAGAGCUCUGCAAAGGGGUCUCAGAUGUGGCCAAAAGGUUUGAGGGCAAAAGACAGGAUGGAAGCUUUGCUGUGUUUCUUCCUCUUUUAUAUGGUGGGCUUGUGCAUACAAAUUCAUUGGAGAAAGGGCUUCCAGUAACCAAAAGUUUGAAAACCACUUAAGUAGUCCAAAUUUUCCUUGAGUGGCUAACCAUCCUCCCUUCCUUAGUCUGCUUCAUGUCCCUUGGUCUCUGCUGCCCCCGUCUCUCCCUCAGGCAGACACCGUGGCUGGGAGAUGAAGCACAACUGAAGCCUCUUGCUUUCGCUUAUGUGGAGUUUGCACUGUCUGCCACCGCGCAGCCCCUGACUGCUUCUCUUGUCCCAGUUUCAAUUUCAUUCUUGGUGUUUCUUGUCUCUUUGGGACUGAAAAUAUUUAUUGAGUCAACAAAUAUCCUUGCACUGUUCUGAACAUUAAAAUACCCACAUUUUGUUAAAAUUCUUUAAGUAUGAAUUCUUGUUUCAAGGAGAAAGUUAAACUUAUGUUUAUCAUUCUUAUAGCCAGGGCAGGUAUAUUAGAUAAGACAGGCAUGGUAAUAAAUGGAUAAACAAAUGAAUGAAUAUAUUCUUUACUUUUCUUAGUCAUUAUUCCUCUUCACUACCUGACUCUGAGGCCUGGGGUAGGAGGGAGAGCAGGAACUCAAGAAGUCUUUCUCAGACAUGGAUGCACAGGUAAUAAUAUUUAUAGUAAUCAUCAGCAGAAUUCCCUGGCGGUCCAGUGGUUAGAACUCUGCACUUGCACUGCGGGGGGCCCAGGUUCGAUCCCUGGUCGGGGAACUGAGAUCCCGAAAGCCAUGCAGCCAAGUUAAAAAAAACAAAGAAAAAAAACCAUCUGUGCACAGGUAAUAAUACCUAUAAAAUAACAAUAAAUGGCUGGCACUGCUCUUAGCAUUUUAUGUAUAUUAACUCAUUUAUUUAUUUACUUAUUAUUUUUUUUGGCUGCGCGGUUUGCGGGAUCUUAGUUCCCUGACCAGGGAUUGAAUCCGGGCCCUCUGCAGUGAGAGCACCCAGUCCUAACCACUGAACCACCAGGGAACCUCCUAACUCAUUUAUCUUUACAACAACCCUGCACUGAAGGUCCUAUUAGUAUAUCCACCCCAUAGAUGAGGAAGCAGAGGC